rnacentral:rRNA from 1 species
UACGUAGGGGGCAAGCGUUGUCCGGAUUUAUUGGGCGUAAAGAGCGUGUAGGUGGCUUCGUAAGUCCGUUGUGAAAGUCAAAGGCUCAACCUUUGAAAGCCGAUGGAUACUGUGAAGCUAGAGUACGGAAGAGGCGAGUGGAAUUCCUGGUGUAGCGGUGGAAUGCGCAGAUAUCAGGAGGAACACCAAUAGCGAAGGCAGCUCGCUGGGACGUUACUGACACUGAGGCGCGAAAGCGUGGGGAGCGAACAGG